AUUGAACGCUGGCGGCAUGCCUAACACAUGCAAGUCGAACGGCAGCACGGUCGUAGCAAUACGAUGGGUGGCGAGUGGCGGACGGGUGAGGAAUACAUAGGAAUCCGCCCUGUUGUGGGGGAUAACGUAGGGAAACUUACGCUAAUACCGCAUACGACGGCGACGUGAAAGUGGGGGACCGCAAGGCCUCACGCGAUAGGAUGAGCCUAUGUCGGAUUAGCUAGUUGGCGGGGUAAGGGCCCACCAAGGCGACGAUCCGUAGCUGGUCUGGGAGGAUGAGCAGCCACACUGGAACUGAGACACGGUCCAGACUCCUACGGGAGGCAGCAGUGGGGAAUAUUGGACAAUGGGGGCAACCCUGAUCCAGCAAUGCCGCGUGGGUGAAGAAGGCCUUCGGGUUGUAAAGCCCUUUUGUACGGGAAGAAAAGCUUCGGAUUAAUACUUCGAGGUCAUGACGGUACCGUAAGAAUAAGCACCGGCUAACUUCGUGCCAGCAGCCGCCGUAAUAC
rnacentral:rRNA from 1 species